rnacentral:rRNA from 1 species
UCGAACGGGCUAGCAAUAGUCAGUGGCGCACGGGUGCGUAACACGUAGGUAAUCAACCCCUUGGUUCGGGAUAACGUUCUGAAAGGAGCGCUAAUACCGGACGCGUCUUCGGGAGCUUCGGCUCCUGUCGAGAAAGACCCGCAAGGGUUGCCGAGGGACGAGCCUGCGGCCCAUCAGCUAGUUGGCGAGGUAAUAGCUCACCAAGGCGAAGACGGGUAGCUGGUCUGAGAGGAUGAUCAGUCACACUGGAACUGAGACACGGUCCAGACUCCUACGGGAGGCAGCAGUGGGGAAUAUUGCGCAAUGGGCGAAAGCCUGACGCAGCCACGCCGCGUGAGCGAUGAAGGCCUUCGGGUCGUAAAGCUCUGUGGGGAGAGACGAAGAAAGCCUGUGAAGAGCAGGCCUUGACGGUAUCUCCUUAGCAAGCACCGGCUAACUCCGUGCCAGCAGCCGCGGUAAUACGGAGGGUGCGAACGUUGCUCGGAAUCAUUGGGCGUAAAGCGCACGUAGGCGGCGGCGUAAGCGGGAUGUGAAAGCCCAGGGCUCAACCCUGGAAGUGCAUCCCGAACUGCGUCGCUUGAAUCUCGGAGGGGGACAGAGAAUUCCCGGUGUAGAGGUGAAAUUCGUAGAUAUCGGGAGGAAUACCAGUGGCGAAGGCGCUGUCCUGGACGAAGAUUGACGCUGANGUGCGAAAGCGUGGGGAGCAAACAGGAUNAGAUACCCUGGUAGUCCACGCUGUAAACGAUGAGUGCUGGACGGUGGAGGANUUGACCCCUUCGCUGUCGAAGCUAACGCGUUAAGCACUCCGCCUGGGGANUACGGUCGCAAGACUAAAACUCAAAGGAAUUGACGGGGGCCCGCACNAGCGGUGGANCAUGUGGUUUANUUCGACGCNACGCGCAGAA